AGCAAAGUCAGAAUCCUGUUUAACAUCAUCAUGUUUGCCUCGUGUGUUCUUUCCAAGAUGAAUAACCUUGACUUCCACCUUAAUAUUAAUUUCUACUGUAGUUUAUAUGGGAUCAAUGCUUGUGGAUUAUCAACCCAUCGCCAACCCAUAAUAAAUUAUUAGAAGUUUCUUUUAUCUCUUUCUCAAAAUUCUUAUUCAUUCUUGCUGCCAAAGGUAGACUUAAUGAUUUCAGAGGAAGUAUCAAUUAUCAGAUAUUUGACCAAAUUAACAUUUUGGCAAAGAUGGACAAGCAUUUGAUUUUUAGGGAGCUGACUUU
rnacentral:misc_RNA from 1 species